ensembl:snRNA U2 U2 spliceosomal RNA
CUCGCUUCUCGGCCUUUUGGCUAAGAUCAAGUGUAGUAUCUGUUCUUAUCAGUAGAGUCUCACUUAUCUGACAUUUGCUUAUCCAACAUUCUGGAUUAUCCAACACAUUUUUGUAGUCAAUGUUUUCAAUAUAUCGUGAUUUUUUGGUGCUAAAUUCGUAAAUACAGUAAUUACUACACAGCAUUACUGCAU